CGAACGGGUGAGUAACGCGUGAGGAACCUGCCUCAAAGAGGGGGACAACAGUUGGAAACGACUGCUAAUACCGCAUAAGCCCACGGCUCGGCAUCGAGCAGAGGGAAAAGGAGCAAUCCGCUUUGAGAUGGCCUCGCGUCCGAUUAGCUGGUUGGUGAGGUAACGGCCCACCAAGGCGACGAUCGGUAGCCGGACUGGGAGGUUGAACGGCCACAUUGGGACUGAGACACGGCCCAG
rnacentral:rRNA from 1 species